rnacentral:rRNA from 1 species
AUUGAACGCUGGCGGCAUGCCUUACACAUGCAAGUCGAACGGCAGCACGGGUGCUUGCACCUGGUGGCGUGUGGCGAACGGGUGAGUAAUACAUCGGAACAUGUCCUGUAGUGGGGGAUAGCCCGGCGAAAGCCGGAUUAAUACCGCAUACGAUCUACGGAUGAAAGCGGGGGACCUUCGGGCCUCGCGCUAUAGGGUUGGCCGAUGGCUGAUUAGCUAGUUGGUGGGGUAAAGGCCUACCAAGGCGACGAUCAGUAGCUGGUCUGAGAGGACGACCAGCCACACUGGGACUGAGACACGGCCCAGACUCCUACGGGAGGCGGCAGUGGGGAAUUUUGGACAAUGGGCGAAAGCCUGAUCCAGCAAUGCCGCGUGUGUGAAGAAGGCCUUCGGGUUGUAAAGCACUUUUGUCCGGAAAGAAAUCCUUGGCCCUAAUACGGUCGGGGGAUGACGGUACCGGAAGAAUAAGCACCGGCUAACUACGUG